rnacentral:lncRNA from 1 species
UUCUCCAGUUUAACAGGUAGAGUGUUUCCUCUGUGGAAUUCCUGAAAGUUACAGUUUCUUGUCUCUGACCUUUAGAUGUGUGGUUGUCCGGGUUACUACUACUCACGGUGGGUUGUUUUGGUGAACCUGUUUGCUCUUUUCCUGUGUGACCUUUCAGUUACUAUGGUAAACCCAUCCCAUAAUAGUUUGUGGUGUUUUGCUUUAAAAGGCCGGUGCUUGCCGGCAAUAAACGCCGCCUUGAUCAGACUCUUGUCUUGGCGUCCUUCCUUUCUCUCUGCCCCAUCUCCACCCCGCUGCUCUUUCAGGUUUGAGGCACUGCUGGACAGUGCUCUGCGUCGCCGGCUCGCGACAAAGACCUGUCAUGUAAAGGAAGAAGAAAACAAGCAAUAG